AUGCUGGGUCCCCUCGUCCUCCUGUGCUCUCUCCUGUUUCCCAGCGGUGGAGCAGGGCUCAAGCUGGAUCAGCCUGCUUUGGUAGUGGAGCGCUUGGGCAGUUCACCCUCCCUGCAUUGCCAAGCUGACACCUCGGUCAGCUACAUCCACUGGUACCUCCACCAGGAGGGUAGUGCCCCCAAGAGGCUCCUCUACCUAGACAUGUCCAGAUCCUAUGUGCAGAGGGAUUUUGUCCUGAAUGCGAACAAAGUAAGUGCCAAGAAGGGCAGGGAGAGCAACAGCUGUACUCUGUCGGUGCUGAAGCUGGAGAAGAGCGACGAGGGCGUGUACUAUUGCGCUGCCUGGGAAGCGCACAGCCCUGUGCUCUCACCAGGUCCCUGA